AGUAAGUCCAGCCCUAGGCUAAGGUGAGAGCGUCUGUUGGGACACUGUGGCUGGACCCACGUGGCAGGAGGUGUUAAUCACUGAAGGGAGGUAGAAUGUUUUUCCCCACCAGAGGAGGCAGCGACCACGUCUCCUCUAUGGAGGCAUUCAAGAGCCGUCCAGCUGAAGCAGCAUCACUGUCUGAGCUUGGAAGGCACAAUCCACAUAGGUCUGCAUGGUCCACCGAGCUACAUACCCACGGGGCCAGCGGGAGGUGGGCAGCUGCUGGGCUCUCUUCUGAAGCAGGGUCUUGCUCUGUCACCCAGUCUGGAAUGCAGUGGUGCCAUCAUAGCUCACUACAGCCUGAGCUGUACUGAGCUUGAGGGAUCUUCCCGUCUCAGCCUCCUAAGUAGCUGGGACUACAGGCAAGAAGAAAGCUUCCCUACACAUUUAUCAAGGCUGUUAUAAUCCUGACUCCCAAACAAGGUGUCAGAAACGAAGAGACUCAAAAAGAGACUGCCUGCCCUUACUCACCUUGACUGAGCGCUGACGAAGACCACGGGGCCCUCUGCGCUGCAAGGGCGGAGGUGGCCCAGAAGCCCGCAGUGCCCACGUGCAGGACCCAGGGUAGGGGGUGAGGCCGGACGAUGGCACCCGCCCCGCUGGUUCCCAGCCACACAGGGAGGCAAAGCAAAGGCAGCCCGCGGGCGGACGGAGCUGCAGGGGCCGAGCGUCGGCAAGCCCAGGACGGCGUGGCGCAGGGUUGCGGGCGCCCGACCUCCAGAGUGGCCCGCGGAUGCAAGACAAAGCUUUAAAGCCUCGGGCAGCACAGCCACCCACUAGUCCCCAGGUAUGAGGACGGUCUGAAGAACCUCUCUCUCCUCUGCCGGCUGAAGAGUUCCAAGACGAGUAAGGCAACAGCAAGGACGACACAACCACACACCACCACAACCACACGCCACCACCACCACACACUACCACAACCACACCACACACCUCCACAACCACACACCACCACCCCCACACUGCCACAACCACACACAACCACACACCACCACCACACAAAACCACACACAACCACACAUAACCACAGCCACACACCACAACCACACAACACCACAACACACAACCACAACCUCCCUCUGAGCAGCUCAGGCUGCUUUAACCAACCAAUUUGGAAUCCAAUCAAAAUCCUCUGCUGCCGUCUAGCGACGAAUACCGGGAAAGCAGAAUAUAUAGUAAGAAAGCUGUUUAAGAGGCAAAAAGUGAUCGUCUAAAGGUUUGAAAGUGCAAGCCAGAAGAACCUGGUCAUCCUGUGUUCAUGACAGUGCCUUGAACUGGGUCACCCCGCACUUGCUAAGGGGCUGGUGUGGGAUGUGACAAGAAGAAAGUCGUCAAGGGGACUCCAAGAUUUCUGACUUGAGAAACUGAAAAAGCCACUGUUAACUGAGAUUUUUUUUUAAUGUGGGUGGAACGGAUUUGGGCAUAAAGAUUUAAAAAUCCAGUUUGAAACGUGCUAAAUUGGAAUGUUUAAAAGAGAAUACUUGCUAAACUGAGCAAUAAUUAUGCUGUCCCCAGGUUAGCAAGUGUCCCCUUUUAGGUCAAAGGAUACAAAGUAGCAAGUAUGUAGGAGGAACAAAUCAAAAGAUCUAAUGAACAACAUCGCGACUGUAGUUUCUAUAGUGUGUUGUGUUAAGGAUUUUUGCAAAAUCAGUAGAUCAUAGCUGCUCUUGCCACAAGGCGGAAAAACGGAAAAAUGGAAAAACGGGUAACUAUGUGAGAUGAUGGAUAUAUUAAUCUGUUGUACUCUAGUAACCAUUUCACUAGAUAGAUAAUAUCAUGUUGAACACCUUAAAUAUACACCACUAGAUUUAUUUUUUAAAAUAAAAGUGAAACAUGGCUUG
rnacentral:lncRNA from 1 species